GAUAGGCCGGAGGUGGAAGCCCUGUGAGGGGUGGAGCUGACCGGUACUAAUAGGCCGAGGGCUUGACACACA
rnacentral:rRNA from 2 species